UACGUAGGGUGCGAGCGUUGUCCGGAAUUAUUGGGCGUAAAGAGCUUGUAGGCGGUUUGUCGCGUCUGCUGUGAAAAUCCGGGGCUCAACCCCGGACUUGCAGUGGGUACGGGCAGGCUAGAGUGUGGUAGGGGAGACCGGAAUUCCUGGUGUAGCGGUGGAAUGCGCAGAUAUCAGGAGGAACACCGAUGGCGAAGGCAGGUCUCUGGGCCACUACUGACGCUGAGAAGCGAAAGCAUGGGGAGCGAACAGG
rnacentral:rRNA from 1 species